rnacentral:tRNA from 1 species
GGUGUUGUGGCUCAGUGGUAGAGCACUUGCCUAGCAUGAGGGAGGCAUUGGGUUCAAUCCCUAGCACCA